GACGAACGCUGGCGGCGUGCUUAACACAUGCAAGUCGAACGAAGUGGCGAACGGGUGAGUAACGCGUAAUCAACCUGCCCUUCAGAGGGGGACAACAGUUGGAAACGACUGCUAAUACCGCAUACUGAUGGGGGGGAUUGCGUUGGAUUAGCUAGUGGGAGGGGUAACGGCCCACCAAGGCGAUGAUCAGUAGCCGGGCUGGGAGGAUGAACGGCCAAAAUGGGACUGAGAAACGGCCCAGACCCCUACGGGGGGCAGCAGUGGGGAAUCUUCCGCAAUGGACGAAAGUCUGACGGAGCAAAGCCGCGUGAGUGAUGACGGCCUUCGGGUUGGAAAGCUCUGUUAAUCGGGACGCGGUACCGGAAUAGAAAGCCACGGCUAACUACGUGCCAGCAGCCGCGGUAAUUC
rnacentral:rRNA from 1 species